GAUCAUGUGCCGACGCAACGCCAUUCCCGCCAGUCUCGAGUAGUCUUGAGCUGGUUAUGUAACGCGGUCGAGAUAUACUGGACAUAAGCAAUAAAUAGAUUCUUUUAGAUUGAUCCAUCCUAACAUCGACAACGUAACAGCGAAGGCAUCGCAGCCAGGAGCAGCAGACAUCCGAGCGAAUAAAUCAAUUUAAUAAAUACGUAUACGUAUACAUAUACUUAUACUAUAUGUUAGAAAUGGAAUUUUUGCUGUAUACUACUAUAAAAUGGAAAAUAAAAAAAAUUUGUUUCCCAUA